UUCAUGAGACAUGAAGAGUGUGAAGUGAAUAACCUGCCAUGUGUAUGUACAUGUACCAGAUCUGUACAUCAAAACAUAUAUAUCUGCAAACACGAAAGUUAUGAAUUUCGUUCUUGUAGUCAAUGGAGUUGGCGCUGGUUUCCGUUACUGGCCUUUUUUGACGUCUUGAUAUCAGUUUGGAAUAAUAGCUGGACUCUGGGGAAUCCUCACUCAUAUUCGAGUCACCACUGGACCAGUUUGUCCAGACAGGAUGUCCUUCUCGCUUGAAGGUCACGAGAAACAUUACGUAAAACUGGCAUGGGGUGGUGAAGAGGUUGGGUGAGAAUGACACGUGUUUCAUCAUUAUCAAAGCAG